rnacentral:rRNA from 1 species
CAGUCGCCGCGGUAAUACGGAGGGGGCUAGCGUUGUUCGGAAUUACUGGGCGUAAAGCGCACGUAGGCGGCUUGGUAAGUUAGAGGUGAAAGCCCGGAGCUCAACUCCGGAAUUGCCUUUAAGACUGCCGAGCUAGUAGGUGAGAGAGGUAAGUGGAAUUCCGAGUGUAGAGGUGAAAUUCGUAGAUAUUCGGAAGAACACCAGUGGCGAAGGCGGCUUACUGGCUCAUUCUAGACGCUGAGGUGCGAAAGCGUGGGGAACAAACAGGAUUAGAUACCCCCGUAGUCCCUGUCUCUUAUAC